CAAAAUGGCGAAAAUGCUAAGGGGGAAAUUGAUCACCUAUUACGAGUUAAUCCUACAAGGCAAAGACCCCUCAUCAAGGAGAAGUGACUUCUGGGAUGAAUUUUUUCUACUAAAAGCUAAUGUAGAAUUCUUAGAAGGAGCUAUCAUGACAAUGUCUUUAUCUAACCUUAUGCAAAUCAAAG